GUGGGGAAUCUUCCACAAUGGACGAAAGUCUGAUGGAGCAACGCCGCGUGAGUGAAGAAGGGUUUCGGCUCGUAAAGCUCUGUUGUCGGGGACGAAUGUGCAGUAUUUGAAUAAAGUACUGCAAUGACGGUACCUGACGAGGAAGCCACGGCUAACUACGUGCCAGCAGCCGCGGUAAUACGUAGGUGGCAAGCGUUGUCCGGAAUUAUUGGGCGUAAAGGGAGCGCAGGCGGGAAGGUAAGUCGGUCUUAAAAGUGCGGGGCUCAACCCCGUGAUGGGAUCGAAACUAUCUUUCUUGAGUGCAGGAGAGGAAAGUGGAAUUCCUAGUGUAGCGGUGAAAUGCGUAGAUAUUAGGAGGAACACCAGUGGCGAAGGCGACUUUCUGGACUGUAACUGACGCUGAGGCUCGAAAGCCAGGGGAGCGAACGGGAUUAGAUACCCGGGUAGUCC
rnacentral:rRNA from 1 species